GGCCCUACCGGCAGACAGGUGCAGAGGUGAGCCCAGCGUCCCAGCCAUCCCCUGUCCUCGCACCGCACGUGACCAGGCCUGCUGGCCGGUCCUCUCUAUCCCGGGCUACAGGAACCAGAUCACCGGCGCUCCUUGGGAAACGCAGGAUGUGGAAUGUGCAUAAGACCCCAUGAAUUUUGAUGUUAUAGAAGACUAGCCAAUACACACUAAGUGGUCUCGGUGUGAUCCAUCACUCCGCAAAAAUGGAGUGGGCAACAUGUUCAUAAAAAAAUUGGACAAAUCUAUUGAUUAUAAAGCAUUGCAUGAUACAUCUGCUUUUGGUAACAUCCUUUCACAUUAGGUGCUUUGUGGUGAAAACGGUUUCAAGGGUGAUGACAUUGUACAUUUUGACACACAGAAGCAGCUGAAAGAUCUAUUCAAAAAUGAAAUGGGUGCUUCUAAAUGAUAGCAAAGUCUUUGUUGGAUUAAGUCUUGUAAACAAUGAGAGGCAGAACUCAGAGUUAAAAAGUUCACCAAUGUUUACAGGAAGAUUUUUGGAGAAGACAUGGAUGGUAGGUGUCUUAAAGAUCUCUUUGGCAAGUUGGGAUGUGUCUUAAGUGUGAUAGUAGUGGUUAAUGAAAGUGGAAAACCCAAAGGUUUUGGAUUUGUCAGCUUUGAAAGGCAUAAAGAUGCACAGAUGAGAUGAACAGAAAGAAGCUCAAUGGAAAACAAAUUGAUGUUGGUCAAGCUCAGAAAGAAGUAGAAUGGCAGAUGGAACUUGUGUGCAAAUUUGAAAAGAUCAAGCAGUAUAGGAUCACCAGAUAACAAAGUGUUAACAUUUAUGCAAAAAAUCUUGAUGGUAUUGAUGAAUGUCUCUGGAAAGAACUUUCUCCACUUGGUACAAUCACCAAUGCAAAGGUUAUGAAGGAUGGUUGUCACAACAAAGGGUUUGAUUUGUGUAUGUUUCUCCUCUCCAGGGGAAACAACUAAAGCACUUUCAGAAAUGAAUGGUAGAAUUGUGGGCACUGAGCCAUUGUAUAUAGUGUUAACUCCAUGGGAAGAAAAGCAAUGAAGAGCACCAGGCUCAGCUCAUUAACCAGUACAGUAUGUGCAAAGAAUGGCAAGUGUAAAAACUAUGCUCAACCUGGGAAUCAGUCCCUAUCAGCCAGCACCUUCUUCAAUUGACUUCAUGGCAGUUAUCCCACAGACUGAGAGCCAUGCUGCAAAGUAUUCUCCUAGCCAAACUGCUCAACUAAGAUCAAAUCCUCCCUAAAUUGCUCAGGGUGCCAGACCUCAUCCAUUGAAAAAUAUGCCCAAGCCACUCCUAGCUCACUACAUUUAGUAGUAAGAGACCAGCUUCUUCACAGCUUCCACGAGUCAUGUCAACACAGCUGUUGUAACACAUCGACAGAGACAAUAGGAGCACAUUCUGCAGUUGCCGCUACUGCUACUACAGAUACUCCUGCUGUUUGUACCAUUUCACAGUAUAAAUAUGCUAUGGAAGUUCACAAUCCUCAAUGGCAUUUUCAUGCACAGCCCCAGGUUACCAUGCAGCAGCCUGCUGUUCAUGUAGAAGGUCAAGAACCUUUGACUUCCAUGAUGGCAUCUGCUCUUCCUCAAAAGCAAAAGGAAACGAGUGAAUGGCUGUUUCCUCUUCUUGAAGCCAUGCCCUAGUCGUGCUGCUAAAAUCAUUGGCAUGUUGUUGGAGAUUGGUAAUUUAGAACUCCUUCAUAUGCUUGAAUCUCCAGAGCCUCUCUAUACUAAGGUUGACAAAGGUAUAGCUGUACUACGAGACCACCAAGCUAAAGAGGCUGCCCAGAAAGCAGUUAAUGGUGCCACUGGUGUUCCAA
rnacentral:lncRNA from 1 species